rnacentral:rRNA from 1 species
AAUCACUUGUCCUCUAAAUAAGGACCAGUAUGAACGGCUAAAUGAGGGCCUAACUGUCUCCUGUGGCCAAUCAAUGAAACUGAUCUUCUAGUUAAAAAGCUAGAAUAAACCCACAAGACGAGAAGACCCUGUGGAGCUUUAAAUUAAUAUACUACCACCCCGCCACUACCCCAAUACGACUCAACAGUGGAAUAAAUAGUAUAAACUUUAAGUUGGGGCAACUGCGGAAUAAAUAAGACCUUCCAUGCAACAGGAUAUAUUAUCCAUUAAAGGACUACAUACCAAAAAUAUUAUACAAAGCGACCCAGUACUACUGACCACCGAACCAAGUUACCCCAGGGAUAACAGCGCCAUCCUCUUCUAGAGUUCCCAUCGCCAAGAGGGUUUACGACCUCGAUGUUGGAUCAGGGCCCCCAGACGGUGCAGCCGCUGUCAACGGUUCGUUUGUUCAACGAUUAAUGCCCUACGUGAU